GAGAUAGGCUCGCUAGCAUCGGAGACUGCUAAUCUUCGCCCCCCUGGUUGAACCCCAGGGCUAACUCA
rnacentral:tRNA from 3 species